rnacentral:rRNA from 1 species
AACGAACGCUGGCGGCAUGCCUAACACAUGCAAGUCGAACGAGACCUUCGGGUCUAGUGGCGCACGGGUGCGUAACGCGUGGGAACCUGCCCUUAGGUUCGGAAUAACUCCCCGAAAGGGGUGCUAAUACCGGAUAAUGUCUUCGGACCAAAGAUUUAUCGCCUUUGGAUGGGCCCGCGUUGGAUUAGCUAGUUGGUGGGGUAAAAGCCUACCAAGGCGACGAUCCAUAGCUGGUCUGAGAGGAUGAUCAGCCACACUGGGACUGAGACACGGCCCAGACUCCUACGGGAGGCAGCAGUGGGGAAUAUUGGACAAUGGGCGAAAGCCUGAUCCAGCAAUGCCGCGUGAGUGAUGAAGGCCUUAGGGUUGUAAAGCUCUUUUACCCGGGAUGAUAACGACAGUACCGGGAGAAUAAGCUCCGGCUAACUCCGUG